rnacentral:misc_RNA from 1 species
GAGCUAGGUUCAACCAAGGAGGUUCAAUUUUAUCCUCUGCUAAUUUGACUUUUGCAUUUUGGUUAUUAUCAAUUCUAGGACUAGAAUUGGUGAUUUUCAUAGUAUUUGGUAGUUUUGGAUUUGAGAAUCCCAAAUUAAUCAUGAUUUAAAUGUGUGUGAUCUAUUUUGUUCCACAUUAACGAUUUUUGGAGCUAGAAUUAAAUUACUGUCUCAAAGAAUAUCUUUCAUUUCAACUUACAUUUCAGAAAUUUGGACUUUUCUUCUUCUUCUCCUCCUUCUUC